CCCACUAAAUAGGAAGAUGGAGUUCAACUGUGUAUGGAGAGAGAGAGAAAGAGACCAGCAUCAGUAGUAGAGAAACAACUUGCCUAAAAGUAUUCCUCAGAGAAUUCUCUAAUUAAUCUAAGGGAAAUUGUAACAUCUGAUCAUAUACACUCCUCAGAUAAUCAGAACAAAUGGUAGUAAACUCUUUUAAAAGCUAGCUUGAGGAUAUUCUUACCAAGCACAUUGAUGUACUCUGAGCAGUAAGUUGCCGAUGUUAUGUCUUUCAGCUACCACAUGUUUUCUUUAAUAAUCAGUAUUAAACUAGUCUAUUCUUGCUGAUCAUGGUUCUUUAUUGGUUUCUUGUAACCAUUUUGUGUGUUAGAUGAUUCAUGCUUGGUUUAUGAAGUGAAACGAAAAAAUUGCCAGUAGCAAUUCUCCUAUGAUUCAUGCUUGGUUUCUUAUCAAAUUUAGUAAGACUAAACUCUAGAAAUGGUAUCUUUUAACUGGUUAUCAUCUCUAAAUUUAAAAGCAUAAAUAGGAUUAUUUUGCUCGUGAAGGACAACUCUUACAAGAUUGAGAUGGGCAUCAACAUCAAAAACAUCCACACGAUAGAGUCAAUAACCCAAUAUCACUCGUUAAUGACCUCAGUUGCGUUGACAAUGACAUAAACAAAAAAAAUUAGACAUAUACAAAACAAAUAAAACGAUGCACAUUAGCUAAACAAAACAAAGACAUCAAACAUAAUAAAAUCAGAGCAAGGAUGGGGACAGAAUAAAAGAAAGAAACAUCACAAAUCAGAACAAGACAUAAACAAGAGGAACAUAUUUGGAAAACGUAAUGAUGAUUAUGACAGCAGAUUAAAAUAAAAACAAGAUUACCCGAUGAUCACCGAUUUGAAUCAUGAUUUAUUGCUCUCAUGUAAUUCUGUCAUUUUUUUUAACACAAUAACUAGAUUUUGACCCGCGCGCCCGCGCGGAUAUUAUUUUCCGAUAAUUAUGUUCGUUUAAUUUGUACUACUUUAGUUUAUUGUUGAGACUAUAUAUUUUGUUACUUUUUUGUGUUAUAUAUUUUUGUUCUUAGAUGUGUGUUGGAUCAGUCAUGUUAUUAUAUACUAUUUUUUUUUAAAUGUAAGUAUUUAUUAAUAUAUCCUCAAAUGACCAUUAUGUAAGUUGUUCUUCCAAAUCUAGUCCACAAAUGAAGAAAUGAUUGAAAAUAGUUUUAUUAAAAGGUAUAUUUACUCUUAUAUUCAUAAGGUUAUCUAAUCCUAAACUUUGGUUUUAAUAAGAUAGAUGGGAGGAGUUUUCAGGGUGAGGUUUAAUAUUUUAAAGAGUAUAACAUAAAUAUUGAAAGUUUUUAAAUAUUUAAAAGAAUUUUAGUUUUUAAAAUUAUUAUUUAUAAAUAUAAAACAAUGAGUACAAAAGUAUUUUAUGUUUUUAGUAAAACAUAUUUUGGUAGUUUUCUUCUUUAAAAUUCCUUUUUAUGUUAAAAACUAAAAAUAAUUGUUUAAAAGAUGUUACUAUUUAAAAAUUGUAUAUUGUAUCUAUGCAGAUAUUUUUGACCACAUAAAAAACUCAUAUAUUAAUUUGUACAGAAAGUAAGUAUAGUUUAUUUUUUAAAAUGAUAGUUAAUUUGAUAAUUAAUAACAUUGGGUUGACAAAAAAAUAAUAAUAAUAACAUUGGCAACCGCAAAUUACAAGUAAUUUCCAAAAGAUUAAAAUUGGGCUAUACUAUAUUAUUUCAUCAUUAAUUAUCCAAUAAAACUUAACAUUAUGGCCCAAAACAAUUGUAACAAAACCCCAUUUAUAAUGAUUUUUAUUCUGGGAAAAGCAAACAAAAAACGUAACUACUCUAGUGCUCUGUUUACUUUUCUCUUGGUCGCAGCGAAUCUCUGUCUUAUCUCUUCUUUGAUGUUCAUUACAAUAAAUCGCAAGUAUGAGAAGAUUGAAGAAUCAGAUCCACGCUGAGAGCAACGAUUUUAUGUAUGUCAACUCCAUUCACUCAGUCAAGGAAAUGUAUAAAAGAGAUCUCUUUCCCACUAGUAGAUCUGCCAUUAACCUCUCUCUUCCGAGACAUGCAAUCAAAAUCCUAAUCUUGUCUUAGAAGGGUAAAGUCGAACCAUUCACCUCUCAUCUUUCUCAUCCUAACAACAAAAAAAUUUCCUUUUCUUCACAAAACUGAGUUUCAUGAUUUUGUUACCUUUCAGAUAAACUUCAUUUUUUCGAGAAACCAAGAUCUCAAUAAGAAAAAAAAGUCAAUGAUCGAGUGAUUUUGCCUGGGUUAUCUUUAUGCUGUAAUGGAAAAUGCAAAGUUAAGUUUUAAAUAUUUAUUGGAAUAUGUUUCAGAGCUUAGUUAUGUUGUCUUUAUGCGAUUAUUUUAGUCAUAAAACACCAAAAUAAAAAGCAAAGCAAAAUAACAUUUUAUUAGGUUAAGCACUCAUCACUAAUCAGUCCUUUUCUUUCUCCUUCUUUACGAUCUUAGUGCAUAACUUCUUAGAAGUAGAUGUCAUGUCCAUUUGAUCACACUCAUCUUCCUUACGUUUGUUACUUGGGGUGGAAAAAUCUUCAGAUGAGUUCUCAUUGA